rnacentral:tRNA from 1 species
GAGGAUAUAGCUGAAAUUGUAGAGCGCAUGCUUAGCGUGCACGAGGUCCUGGGUUCAAUCCCCAGUACCUCCU